rnacentral:lncRNA from 1 species
CACAAAAGGAAGGUUGGGAUUGAUUUUGGGAGUUUUGGGCCCAACAGUUUAGAAAUUAGGGGCCAAAUAAGCAUUUUUCUUGGUUUUCGCACAAUAACUUUAGUAUAAGUAAAUAGAAAUCUAUGAAAUUUAAACACCAGGUUUAUGAACACAAAAGGAAGGUUGGGAGUUUUGGUCCCAACAGUUUAGGAAUUAGGGCCCA